rfam:Schistosoma mansoni strain Puerto Rico chromosome 3, complete genome
AUUCAACUGACGAGUCCCAAAUAGGAUGAAACGUGCGUCCUGGAU